GACGAACGCUGGCGGCGUGCCUAAUACAUGCAAGUCGAGCGAAGCGGCGGAUGGGUGAGUAACGCGUGGGUAACCUGACCUUAAGUCUGGGAUACCAUUUGGAAACAGAUGCUAAUACCGGCUACUAAAGGAUGGCCCUGCGAUGAAUUAGCUAGUUGGUAAGGUAACGGCUUACCAGGGCGAUGAUGCGUGGCCGAGUUGAGGGACUGAUCGGCAACAUUGGGACUGAGACACGGCCCAACCUCCUACGGGAGGCAGCAGUAGGGAAUCUUCCACAAUGGACGAAAGUCUGAUGGAGCAACGCCGCGGGAGUGAAGAAGGUGUUCGGAUCGUAAAGCUCUGUUGUUGGUGAAGCGGUAAUCAACCAGAAAGUCACGGCUAACUACGUGCCAGCCGCCGCGGUAAUUC
rnacentral:rRNA from 1 species